CCAAGAUUUGGUAGAAGAUACCUAACAAAGGAUCAAGCAACCAGAGAAACAGGGCUCUCAGUUUUGGUGUAUCUCUGAACAAAACCUCUACUGCUUCUCAGCUGGCCAUGUUGUCUGCUUUUUGCUCAGGCCUUGUGAUCUUGUUGAUAUUCGGAGGGACCAAUGGCGACUCUGUGACCCAGACAGAAGGCCCAGUUACCCUCCCUGAGAGGGCAGGUCUGACCUUGAACUGCACUUACCAGAGCAGCUAUUCAGUUUUCAUUUUCUGGUAUGUCCAGUUUCCAAACAAAGCACCCGAGCUCCUGAAAAACUCAUCAGAAAACCUGAAGCCGCACAGCAGAGGUUUUCACGUCAAUCAUGAUAAGAGUGACCGGUCCUUCCACCUGCAGAAACCCUCCGUGGAACUAUCAGACUCGGCUGUGUACUACUGUGCUCUGCAAGACACAGUGGCAUACAUUCCUGAGAAGUGACAUUAACUCUGCUACAUGACAGUUGUUCUUCACAGAAAUAUUUCAGAACCUAUUAAGAAAUUCUAAGGAAAAAAUAGUUCGUGGACUAAGGUAUCACCUGGAUUCUAAUCCCUUGUGUUUACAACUCAGACCAGAGUCGUAUGUCUUGCUGAGUUUCACCUGCACAAACUCCAGCU